CCUACCCUCGCCACUAGACGACCAAAGCUAACUUUGACAAAUUACAAAAUUCUAACAAAAUAAAAAUAAACAAUUAUAUCUAAAACCCUACAACACAUUCAUUUGGGGGAGGAGGACCUGAAUCCUGCAAUCGAGAGCAACAGAAACGGCGAUGGGAAGAUCAGCUCUGAUUCACUUGAUUCGCUCCCAAUCACGACGUCUCUCUUCCUCGACCUUCACUACUACAGGAUAUCAUCAUCGGUCAAUAGCAGGAUCAUGGUCAUCAUCAGUGAUCCCGAAGGUCAGAUUCCAGGUUCCAUCUCUUAACCAGAGAAGCUGGGCAUCAUCUGGAGCAAAGACUAGAGAAGAUGACGAUGAUGAGCACAAGAUAAGCAUCGGACCUCAAGAC